GCUCCACAGAGUGGAACUCCUGUCAUCUCAUCAUGUCAACAAACAGUACACGGGCUGCCGAAGCAGUGAUGUCACGCGGAGACAAUGUAGCCAAGCGCCAGGAUUGGACUUCAGCUCACCCGCGAGUCCCUCUGUAUGUAGGUAACCAUGACUACCGCCUGCCAAAGGCUGCACUCUCAACAGCUCCCUGGCUCCCGCAAUCAGGGGCGGCUGAAAGACAACAGCAGGGACAGAGCUAUUGAACAAGAGAGGGCUUGAACAGCAAGGGCCUGUGGAUACAGUGUGUGCCCGGAUGGACUUGGCCCAGCUAUGGGGGGGUGAUGACCGCGGCCUCUCCCACGUGGAAGGCAGCGACGACUGGGGUGAUGAGUUAGGAGGACUGGGUGUUAUACCCUUCAGUCAUUCCUUCAUCCCUCUCAGAGACUCUAGUCCACUCGUCCUCACCGAUCUGGACAUGUGGGACAGCAGGUCUCACUUUAAAUCUCAGGUAAGGAACGAUUUGUGAUUUAUGUAGGUGACUUAUGAUUUGUGUUAUGAAUUAAUUAUUUGGAUCAUGGUGAGGCGAUUUUUUUGAGUGAUGUUUUGUUCUGUUAGUCCUUAGCAUGGAGUAUGGCAUGUAGGACUGGAGGGUUCCUCUCCAAAAUGAGCACCGGCACCUCCGCUAAUGGCAGAGACAGUGGCUUCAGCAGACAGAGUGACCCAGGGCUGGGUAAAAGAAGAUGGCAGUCGAUGUCUCGCCUGGCCCCCGAGGGCGCCCCCCGGUCCCUCUCCCCUGUCUCCCCAGGGGUUGAGCUGAGAGCAGCCCUGGAAGAGAGUGGCUUUAGGCGAGCAGAGCUGGUGCAGAGGCUGCGGGAGGCCCAUGGACGUCUGGACAGCCAGACAGACCUGCUGAAGAACAGAGACACACAGCCGCAGCAGAGCAGUAGUACUGCACAGCUGCUGGAGAUGAAGCACAAGGUAAGUGAGAAAGAUCUCUGGACUUUAAAAAAAGAGAUAUUCUGCCCGUUUAAUGAAUCAGAAGGUCUACGAUCUCUGUGUACACUGUGAACUUAGAAACUAUCUGGCUUUAAUGAUUCAGAAAGUCUACUAUUUCUGUGUACACUCUGAACUUAGAAACUAUCUGGCUUUAAUGAUUCAGAAAGUCUACUAUUUCUGUGUACACUCUGAACUUAGAAACUAUCUGGCUUUAAUGAAUCAGAAAGUCUACGAUCUCUGUGUACACCCUGAACUGGUCUUUAA
rnacentral:lncRNA from 1 species